ACGCUCGACACCUACGGGGGGCAGCAGUGGGGAAUAUUGCACAAUGGGGGAAACCCGUGAUGCAGCGACGCCGCGUGAGCGAAGAAGUAUUUCGGUAUGUAAAGCUCUAUCAGCAGGGAAGAAGAAAGACGGUACCUGACUAAGAAGCCCCGGCUAACUACGUACCAGCAGCCGCGGUAAUCUGAGCGGGCUGGCAAGGC
rnacentral:rRNA from 1 species